GUGAAAGGUGGAGGCUGACAAUCAAGGGCCUUCUUUUCAUCUACAGAAGAGCUACAGCACAUGUAGCUGUAGAGCAUACUUUCCCCACACUGCUCUGCCAAUCUGAAUAUCAGAUUCAUCUCUUUAAUAAAGAAGGUCGUUUUGGCUUCAUGCUCCUUCAUUCCUUAAUCUAUU
rnacentral:sRNA from 1 species